rnacentral:rRNA from 1 species
CCUACGGGGGGCAGCAGUGGGGAAUAUUGCACAAUGGGCGUAAGCCUGAUGCAGCCAUGCCGCGUGUGUGAAGAAGGCCUUCGGGUUGUAAAGCACUUUCAGCGGGGAGGAAGGCGUUAAGGUUAAUAACCUUGUCGAUUGACGUUACCCGCAGAAGAAGCACCGGCUAACUCCGUGCCAGCAGCCGCGGUAAUACGGAGGGUGCAAGCGUUAAUCGGAAUUACUGGGCGUAAAGCGCACGCAGGCGGUCUGUCAAGUCGGAUGUGAAAUCCCCGGGCUCAACCUGGGAACUGCAUUCGAAACUGGCAGGCUAGAGUCUUGUAGAGGGGGGUAGAAUUCCAGGUGUAGCGGUGAAAUGCGUAGAGAUCUGGAGGAAUACCGGUGGCGAAGGCGGCCCCCUGGACAAAGACUGACGCUCAGGUGCGAAAGCGUGGGGAGCAAACAGGAUUAGAUACCCGUGUAGUC